GCCGGGGUGGCGGAAUGGCAGACGCAGCUGGCUUAAACCCGGCGGCCGCAAGGCGUGUGGGUUCGAAUCCCUCCCCCGGUACCA
rnacentral:tRNA from 1 species